GUGGGAGCUGGCUUGCCUGCGAUAGCAAUCUGUCAGUCAGCCCAAUAUUGACUGGCCCACCGCAAUCGCAGGCAAGCCAGCUCCCAC
rnacentral:antisense_RNA from 1 species